UACGGGGGGGGCAAGCGUUGUUCGGAAUUACUGGGCGUAAAGGGCUCGUAGGCGGCCAACUAAGUCCGACGUGAAAUCCCCAGGCUUAACCUGGGAACUGCGUCGGAUACUGGAUGGCUUGAAUUCGGGAGAGGGAUGCAGAAUUCCAGGUGUAGCGGUGAAAUGCGUAGAUAUCUGGAGGAAUACCGGUGGCGAAGGCGGCAUCCUGGACCGACAUUGACGCUGAUGAGCGAAAGCUAGGGGAGCAAACAGGG
rnacentral:rRNA from 1 species